GUGCCAGCCGCCGCGGUAAUACGGAGGGUGCAAGCGUUAUCCGGAUUCAUUGGGUUUAAAGGGUGCGCAGGCGGAUUAUUAAGUCAGUGGUGAAAUCCCGGGGCUCAACCUCGGAACUGCCAUUGAAACUGAUAAUCUUGAGUACGGUUGAAGUGGGCGGAAUGUAGCAUGUAGCGGUGAGAUGCAUAGAUAUGCUACAGAACACCGAUGCGAAGGCAGCUCACUAAGCCGAUACUUGACGCUCAGGCACGAAAGCGUGGGAGCGAACAGGAUUAGAUACCCUGGUAGUCCACGCCGUAAACGAUGAUAACUCGUUGUUGGCGACACACAGUCAGCGACUAAGCGAAAGCGAUAAGUUAUCCACCUGGGGAGUACGGUCGCAAGGUUGAAACUCAAAGGAAUUGACGG
rnacentral:rRNA from 1 species